AGCGAACGCUGGCGGCAGGCUUAACACAUGCAAGUCGAGCGGGCACUUCGGUAUCAGCGGCAGACGGGUGAGUAACGCGUGGGAGCGUGCCCUUCGGUUCGGAAUAACUCAGGGAAACUUGAGCUAAUACCGGAUACGCCCAUAUGGGGAAAGGCUUGACUGCCGAAGGAUCGGCCCGGGUCUGAUUGGCUAGUUGGGGGGGUGAUGGCUCACCAAGGCGACGAUCAGUAGCUGGUCUGAGGGGAGGAUCGGCCACACCGGGACUGGGACACGUCCCAGACUCCUACGGGAGGCAGCAGUGGGGAAUAUUGGACAAUGGGGCAACCCUGAUCCAGCCAUGCCGCGUGAGUGAUGACGGCCUUAGGGUUGUAAAGCUCUUUUCUCCGGGACGAUAAUGACGGUACCGGAGGAAUAAGCCCCGGCUAACUUCGUGCCAGCCGCCGCAGUAAUAC
rnacentral:rRNA from 1 species